rnacentral:rRNA from 1 species
CCGUAGGGGACGAGCGUUAUCCGUCUUUCCUCGGCUUCCCUCUCCCUUCUUUUUCCUUUCCCUUUGGACGUUCCAGCUCCCGGCUUAACUGGGAGAGGUCGUUCAAAACUGGGGGGCUUGAGGUUGGAAGAGGAGAGCGGAAUUCCCGGUGUAGUGGUGGAAUGCGUAGAUAUCGGGAGGAACACCAGUGGCGAAAGCGGCUCUCUGGUUCAAUACUGACACUGAGAUGCGAAAGCGUGGGGAGCGAACGG